UGAUUAAUGUUUUUAAAGUGCCU
rnacentral:snRNA from 1 species